CGGCGGACGGGUGAGUAACGCGUGGGUAACCGGCCUCAUACAGGGGGAUAACAGUUAGAAAUGGCUGCUAAUACCGCAUAAGACCACAGUACUGCAUGGUACAGUGGUAAAAACUCCGGUGGUAUGAGAUGGACCCGCGUCUGAUUAGGUAGUUGGUGAGGUAACGGCCCACCAAGCCGACGAUCAGUAGCCGACCUGAGAGGGUGACCGGCCACAUUGGGACUGAGACACGGCCCAG
rnacentral:rRNA from 1 species